rnacentral:tRNA from 1 species
UGGGAGAUCGUCUAAUGGCAGGACACAUCCCUCUGGAGGAUGUAAUCGGGGUUCAAAUCCCUGUCUCCCAG